UACGGGGGGGGGCAAGCGUUGUUCGGAUUCAUUGGGCGUAAAGGGUGCGUAGGCGGCGCGGUAAGUCGGGUGUGAAAUCUUGGAGCUUAACUCCGAAACUGCAUUCGAUACUGCCGUGCUUGAGGACUGGAGAGGAGACUGGAAUUUACGGUGUAGCGGUGAAAUGCGUAGAUAUCGUAAGGAAGACCAGUGGCGAAGGCGGGUCUCUGGACAGUUCCUGACGCUGAGGCACGAAGGCCAGGGGGAGCAAACGGG
rnacentral:rRNA from 1 species